rnacentral:rRNA from 1 species
UCGAGAAUCUUCGGCAAUGGACGCAAGUCUGACCGAGCGACGCCGCGUGCGGGAUGAAGGCCUUCGGGUUGUAAACCGCUGUCAGAGGGGAUGAAAUGUACGGGGGUACUCCCCUGUACUUGACAGAGCCUCAGAGGAAGCACGGGCUAAGUUCGUGCCAGCAGCCGCGGUAAUACGAACUGUGCGAACGUUAUUCGGAAUCACUGGGCUUAAAGGGUGCGUAGGCGGUUAUCUAAGUCAGGUGUGAAAU